AAGUACCAACAACCUUUUUUGCGAUAUUUUCUCCUUUUUUUAAGACUCUAAAUCAAAACCUUCUAAAGAAUAGGAUCUGUUCAACCGGUUCCUUUUCAAUUUCAGAAUCUGUAAAAUCGAUGGCCUACACACCCAUGAUAUCUUUUUCGUUUUCUUCAUCGCCUACACACUAGAACUGCACUUCGACACCACACCCUUUCUUCUAAGCUUUCUCUUUUGACCGAUUCCCCACUCAACGCUCCCUUUGUCUUCAGAUGUUCCAAUCCGAUGGUAAUCGAACUCCAAUAAAGAAAACAGUUUUUCAUAAUUUUAUCAAAAGAGAGGAGAGACUCCCUGGUACGAUAACCUUUGUCGAACCGUCACAGAUCUUCCUCUUAUUGAAAUGGGUGUCAGUGGUGUCACUAGCAAUCCAAUGGUAUUUAUUAUUUUCCUUCUUUCUAUCAUUAUUGUUCCUCACUUAGGAUUAGGAACAUGCAUGCACAAAUCUCACUUCUUUAUUUGCAAUAUCUAAACAGGACGAAAGGGUCAACUCCAAUUAUUUUAUAUUCUUUAUUGAAUUUUGUCUGAUGGGAUUACCCCUAAUCUUCUUUUUCGUCUAUUUGUUUCAAGCAACCCCCUAACAUGUUUUUUUAUAAUUUAUGAAAAUACCAGAUUUUCCAGAAAGCAAAUUUAUCUUCUAACACCUACAAUGACCAAUUUAGGUAUAAGAUAUACUAAUAUAAUAUUCUUUGCACUAUAAGAAUCAAUAACUUAUUCAAAUAUAUCAAUGGAAAAUAUAAGUUGCGCAACCAAAGAAGCAAUGUCAAUAUUUCAAAUGAUAUUUGCUACAUUAAAAAAAUGAAAGAAACCUAGAUUUUGGGUGAUAUCACAUUGGCAUAGAUGCUUGUUGACGAUUAGAAUAAGCUUGAGGCCUCUGGGCGAAAUGGUCUCUCAAUAGUAACCAGUGUUGCUUAGUUCUUUGUCGGUAGGGUUGACACUCUUAUUGAUAAGUUGGUUUAGAAGAUUGGAACACAUGAGGUCCUUGAUCUUCCCCGAAAGGUGAAUUAUUUUUAUUACUUGUCAUUCAGUUUUUUGAGUGUGGAAUUGAGAAGGUAGAAGAAUUUGCUCACAUAUUUCUAAAUAACGUAGUUUGGCUGCAGUAGCUCAAGCGAGCCGCCUUAGCUUACUAACUUUACAAGAAGAAAUUUUCUAGCCAGUGACUCUGUGGUGGCCUCCACCCAUUCAUCUCCUUCUCUGUCAUUAUAAUCUUCUCAUAAUCUGGUAAUUCUUAUUAUUCUCUUUGUACCAAUUUUAAAUUUUUCAGUUUUGGGUCAAAUGGUAAAGUAGGAAUUUUAAAGUAAACAUUGUAUGAAAGUAAAAUAUUAUUUAUUUUUCGUUUAAGAUUGAUCGUUUAUACUCACUUACUCCUUUCAUUUUUCAAUACUAAUGUUUUCUUAUGUUAACUUUAUAAUUUUCAGGUAAGCUUAUUUUUUUUUUUUCUUUCUAGAGUUUCAAAAGUUGUGGUGAGAAGAUUGAAGCAGUUGCUUCCAAAUUAAGUUCCAUGUUGGUAUGUACACAUGUCAAUGUAAUUAAAGUAAAGUUUUAUUUAUCUAUUAUAGUAAUGUUACAGUAUGCUGUACUCA